CAGCAGCCACGGGAAUACGAAGGGGGCUAGCGUUGCUCGGAAUGACUGGGCGUAAAGGGCGCGUAGGCGGUUUUGACAGUCAGAUGUGAAAUUCCUGGGCUUAACCUGGGGGCUGCAUUUGAGACGUCAAGACUAGAGUGUGAGAGAGGGUUGUGGAAUUCCCAGUGUAGAGGUGAAAUUCGUAGAUAUUGGGAAGAACACCGGUGGCGAAGGCGGCGACCUGGUCCAUAACUGACGCUGAGGCGCGAAAGCGUGGGGAGCAAACAGGAUUAGAUACCCCCGUAGUCCCUGUCUCUUAUAC
rnacentral:rRNA from 1 species